UGAUCACUCAUCAGAGCAGUCACGCAGCGGCAGUAGGCACAGAGAGGCACGUGCUGAACGUCACACAGGCUGCAGACCAAGGGGCUGUUCCUCUCCAGGUGAUGAAUGGAAUCUCAGAGUGCAAAGACCACCACAUUGGCCCAGGCCUGUGUAGGGGGAGCCCACUCAUCCAUGGACAUUCUCAGCACCUACUGUGCACCAGGCAGAGUCAUCAUGCCACUGUCCUCGUCCCCAACCUCCCAUGUAUGCUCCAGCUGCCACAGGACAGGAGUUGAGAGACGGGGAAAGAAGGGAAACUUCAGGCUGGAAGAUUACAAGCAAAGAUCUCGGGACAUGAGAGGACAUGCCUGCCUGUUGCCACAUGGCUGAAACACAUCCUCACAGCUGGUCACUCCUGAGAUGAGCUAACCCUCUCCAUGCACAUGCAUGUAAAAAAUGGGCUAUAUCCUU